rnacentral:rRNA from 1 species
AGCGAACGCUGGCGGCAGGCUUAACACAUGCAAGUCGAACGGGCGUAGCAAUACGUCAGUGGCAGACGGGUGAGUAACGCGUGGGAACGUACCUUUUGGUUCGGAACAACACAGGGGAAACUUGUGCUAAUACCGGAUAAGCCCUUACGGGGAAAGAUUUAUCGCCGAAAGAUCGGCCCGCGUCUGAUUAGCUAGUUGGUGAGGUAACGGCUCACCAAGGCGACGAUCAGUAGCUGGUCUGAGAGGAUGAUCAGCCACAUUGGGACUGAGACACGGCCCAAACUCCUACGGGAGGCAGCAGUGGGGAAUAUUGGACAAUGGGCGCAAGCCUGAUCCAGCCAUGCCGCGUGAGUGAUGAAGGCCCUAGGGUUGUAAAGCUCUUUUGUGCGGGAAGAUAAUGACGGUACCGCAAGAAUAAGCCCCGGCUAACUUCGUG